GACCAACCCUUGAAGACUACUACAUCUUCAGGAAAUUUUAGUCCAACAUCGAGGUCACAAACUUCCUUUUCGAUAAGAACUCUCAAAAGAAAUUAUGCUGUUAUCCCUAUGGUAGCUAAUUCCUUCACUCAGAAUGCCUGGAUCCUUAUUUGUAAAUUUCUAAAAAUAAAAGAAGCUUUAUCUGUUCCUUAGUCGCCCCAACCAAAAUUUUGAGCAAAUAAAAUUUCCACAUAAGUAAUUUUUAAAUUACCCACGCUCUUAAAGCUCAAUAGGGUCUUCUUGUCUUUUAAUAAAAUUUAGGUUUCUUCACCUAAAAAUCAAGUUCUAAAAAAUCAACAUAGAGACAGCUUUGCUCACGUCAAGCCGUUCAUACUAGCCCUCAAUUAUAGAGCAAAUGAUUAUGCUACCUUCGCACAGUCAGAAUACCGCGGCCGUUAAAAAUACUCACCGGGCAGGCCAGACUC
rnacentral:rRNA from 1 species